GCCCUCGAAGUAGAAGAGCACAUUCUGGUAGAGGGCGAACCACUUCUCGUGCCAGCGGCUCGCCUCGGCCGUCUUCUUACUCAGGAAGCCGCGCUUGGUGCCCUCCUUGCGCGCCAGAAAGGCCAGGCUCAGCUUUCUCAUCACUGAACUGGAGAUACAGGUAGUCCAAUCCACGAAAGUGUGAGAACCAUGAGCCUAGUCUCGACCUCAGGAGUUGCCUGAGGAAACUGAUGCUAAAAAUCCAAGUUGCAAAUCAAAAUAUUAGAAAAAUCAAGCCAUGCUCUAGACUUGGAAGCCCGACACUUAGAUCAUCUCUCUCUGAGCAGAGCCAGCUGUUGGCCCCCAUAGGAGUUGGAGACUUGGAAUCCCCUUUGGUGCAGAAACUAUUCCUUCAUGAGAAGAAGUCCUUAAAUAGGCUCUUUAGACAGGAGGCCACAUGUUGAAGGCAGCAGGGUCACAAGAUGGAAGAACCAGGGUCCCAGUAUCAUCGCUCCCUGCUUCAAGCUGCCAGGGGCAGCCUAACCCACAUGGCAUUAUGACAUAAGAAACAAAGUAACUAUUGUUUUAUUAAAUCAAUGAGAUAUUGGGCUUCUUGUUAUAGCAACUAGUAUAAAUUGCCCUGACUGAUACAUUAUGGAUUUAGAGUGCACUGUACUACAACUGUUUGUUGUAUUUUCAAAAUUGUGGUAUAACUGACUUACAAUAAACUUCAUAUAUUUAAAGAG
rnacentral:lncRNA from 1 species